GAUGAACGCUGGCGGCGUGCCUAAUACAUGCAAGUCGAGCGAACAGACGGAGGUGCUUGCACCUCCUGACGUUAGCGGCGGACGGGUGAGUAACACGUGGGUAACCUACCUAUAAGACUGGGAUAACUUCGGGAAACCGGAGCUAAUACCGGAUAAUAUUUAGCUUCGCAUGAAGCAAUAGUGAAAGACGGUUUUGCUGUCACUUAUAGAUGAACCCGCGGUGUAUUAGCUAGUUGGUGAGGUAACGGCUCACCAAGGCAACGAUACAUAGCCGACCUGGGAGGGUGAUCGGCAACACUGGGACUGAGACACGGCCCAGAAUCCUACGGGAGGCAGCAGUAGGGAAUCUUCCGCAAUGGACGAAAGUCUGACGGAGCAACGCCGCGUGAGUGAAGAAGGUUUUCGGAUCGUAAAACUCUGUUGUAAGGGAAGAACAAGUACGUUAGUAACUGAACGUACCUUGACGGUACCUUACCAGAAAGCCACGGCUAACUACGUGCCAGCCGCCGCCGUAAAAC
rnacentral:rRNA from 1 species